rnacentral:rRNA from 1 species
CACAUAACGAACGAGAUCUCAUCUAUUCUUCCCCCUUUCUGCUCGCUGGCUACGGGAAGCCAUGCCACUACUGUGCCACCUUGUCUCGUUCAACGCCGGUGAUGUAGUCAUCGUCACGCUCCUAUCCAGCCGCGCCACGGACCACUCGGAGUGGCCGGAGGUGCUGGGGACCCGGGCGCCGUGCUGCAACGAGCAGCGGGAGGUGUUGGACCUCCAGCGGACGAGCUGUGACGGGCUGCUCCGCCGUCUAUUGGCAGCUUCGACCCCAGCUGCAACCGUCUGCAUCCGGCGCUGGAACCAGCGAGUCCCGGUGCUAUCAUCGGCUGCAGCGAUGCGGGAACCAGCUCGACGACAAGCUGCAACCCGGCUGCGUCGAGUGCUGGAACCAGCAAUCUCCGGUGCUACUACCGGCAAUGUCGGGUGCUGAAACCAGCUUUAUUUUUUGCUGGAACCUGCUACCUUUUUUGCUACAUGUCUUUUUUUUUUUUUUUUUGCUUCAUGUGAUUUGCUGGAACCGGACGUGCCACGCACCGCCGACGUCCUUUUUUUUGCUGGAACUAGCUUUAUAUUUAGCUGGAACUUGCUACUUUUUUGCUACAUCGACUUUUUCAUUUUGGUGAUGAUGGGUGGUGUUUUUGCUACAACCGCGAUUACAAAAAUUUACAACCGGUGAGCUUUUUUGCUACGAUGGCGACAAGAUGGCGGCACCGGCGAGCUAUUUUUUGCUGGAACCACACACUCUUUUUGCUACUACCGGCAAUUUUUUUGCUGCUACUGCAAGUUAGUACUUUUUUCUGCGAGCUUGUUGUCGGCGUGUUACGACCGGCGACCGACGCCACCGGAGCUGCGGCCAUCCCCAUGGGGACCUGCAACCGCUGACGCACGCUGCUGCAUGGACGGCGGCGAGAAACGCAGGAGGCGGCAGCAGCGACGCCAACCUGCUGGGAGGACGACCGCCGGCGGCAAGGGCAGCGACCGGCGGCGGGGCGGCAACAGGCGAGACGCGCCGGGCGGUGCUUCGAGGCCCCGGGCGCGUCGCUAGUCCAUGGCGGCGCGGUGGAAGCUUUUUUUUUUCUGAAAAGGAGAUGACAUCUGAUGGAGGGAGGGGAGAGAAUCGUGUGGCUACGUGACGUUUGAUCGGACGAUGCUAGUGCGACUGGCUCAAAUUUCGGCCGGCACACCAGCGCCUAUCACUCGCCUUCAAAGAAGCUAAGCAGCUUGGGUCAUCAAAACUCGUUACAGCAGUCCUGAAGUGGUACGGUACUUCCGUAAAAAGAAUCUCCUGGAGUUGUUUCUGGUCACUCGACAAUUUAAGGGAAGACCACCUAGCACCAAUUAUGGACUUUUUACAAUAUAUUUUAUUAACUUAAAAGCAUUUUACAGAGACAAGCAUGAGAGGUAGCACACUGGAUAAGAAAAAAGUUUCCCUGAUUGAACAAAGACCUGCCUCAAAACAUAAGCAGCGAAAUAGUAUAGGCCUAUUUUUGGAUUUUCAAAGCUAGGCUUGCAAAUGAUGAGCCUUGAGUCCACCGGAUACUCCGAAAAGAAAAAACUAUUUUGUACUUCCUCCGUUUUUAUUUAGUUCGCAUAUUAGUUUUAGUCAAAGUCAAGCUUUAUAAAUUUUGACCAAGUUUAUAAACAAAAAUAAGAUUUAUUGUCGAAUGUACUUUCACGUCGUAUAGAUUUAUUAUGAUAAAUGUCUAUAUUGUCUAUAUUGAUCAAAAUUUACUAAGUUUGACUUCAGUCAACCCUAAUAUACAGAGUAAAUAAAAACGGAGGGAGUAUUUGAGCAAGUAAUGGCAUGUUGUUCCAAGGGCAAGGAGCGGAGUGAAUGUCCGUCGCUUUUACUGCCAAGGCUAGCACUGAACAAUCCAUGAAGACGUGAGGAUCCUGAACAUUGAGUAUGUCCGCCAACCUGGUUGCAAGCAUGAGACCAAAAGUCUCAGCUUGAAGAGAAGAAGCAGGAGGGGACAUUGUCGCAAGACUCCAAUUCUUGCCUGUUUAGAUCAGAGCGAAUUUGUUGUAUGUGAUCGUCAUUUUGAACCUGAAUGAAGACUCCAAUUCCCGCUUGUUUAGAGGUGUUAGCUGGCUAUAUUUCUUGUGUAGUGUCACCGAAGAUUGUGUUGCUUGUAAAAGAGUCCAGAUUUUGUAUCGCCGGCCGCACCAGUUGGUCCUGUAAGCAAUGCGC